UGCGUAUGCGGGCUAAUAAGUCAGUGGUGAAAUCUUCCGGCUCAACCGGGAACCUGCCAUUGAUACUGUUAGUCUUGAGUUCGGCUGAGGUAGGCGGAAUGUGUAAUGUAGCGGUGAAAUGCUUAGAUAUUACACAGAACACCAAUUGCGUAGGCAGCUUACUAGACCGACACUGACGCUGAGGCACGAAAGCGUGGGGAGCGAACAGGAUUAGAUACCCUGGUAGUC
rnacentral:rRNA from 1 species